CUAUAAUAGGGCGUAAUAGUACGCCCUCCGGUCUAAAGGGGUUAAGAAGUGCCUUAGAACCCAUCUCUUUAGGAAAGCUUAUGGCCUCCCAGAGUAACCUCUACCUCACAUACCCGUCUCUUACUCUCUCCUAUAGGGCAGCACUUUACUCUCUCCUCCAGCUCUGCUUCACUCCCACCUUAUUUGAUUGAUAUUUCCUGUCCUAAUGUGUUUUUAUUCCCCACCUACUAUAGACUGUAAGCUCGUUUGAGCUGGGUCCUCUUCAACCUAUCAUCCCUUAGGUUUUUGUAAUUGUCUCAUUUAUUGUUAAAUCUCCCCCUCUUGUAAUAUUGUAAAGCGUUACAGAAUCUGUUGGUGUCAUAUAAAUGGCAAUAAUAAUAUGAGACUAUAGUAGAUCCCCCUCCUCCCCCCCACACACACACGUACAGUUCUCCCUCUCACCUGUGAGAGUGAUUUGGAGGAGUAUGGGCUUUAGUGGUGAGAUGGGAUGACCUGCAUCAUGGUCCCUCUCUCCUUCUCCUGCUUAUGUGUCCACGUUAUUAACAAAUAUUAAUGGAGAUGUACUGCACUAACAAGAGCAAAGAAAGUACAAAUAUUGAAAAACUACUUGGAAGAGAUGCAUUUAUUAUCUCUUAAUUACUUUUCUUGAUAAAAAAAAAAUACUUUUUGUAUUGUGUAAAAG